rnacentral:piRNA from 1 species
UNGCAGGAAUGCAUCAUGACUUCACUUAGGUC